rnacentral:rRNA from 1 species
GUGUACGUACAAGCAGUGGGAGCACCCUUUGGGGUGUGACUGCGUACCUUUUGUAUAAUGGGUCAGCGACUUAUAUUCUGUAGCAAGGUUAACCGUAUAGGGGAGCCGGAGGGAAACCGAGUCUUAAUUGGGCGUUAAGUUGCAGGGUAUAGACCCGAAACCCGGUGAUCUAGCCAUGGGCAGGUUGAAGGUUGGGUAACACUAACUGGAGGACCGAACCGACUAAUGUUGAAAAAUUAGCGGAUGACCUGUGGCUGGGGGUGAAAGGCCAAUCAAACCGGGAGAUAGCUGGUUCUCCCCGAAAGCUAUUUAGGUAGCGCCUCGUGAAUUCAUCUCCGGGGGUAGAGCACUGUUUCGGCUAGGGGGCCAUCCCGGCUUACCAACCCGAUGCAAACUGCGAAUACCGGAGAAUGUUAUCACGGGAGACACACGGCGGGUGCUAACGUCCGUCGUGAAGAGGGAAACAACCCAGACCGCCAGCUAAGGUCCCAAAGUCAUGGUUAAGUGGGAAACGAUGUGGGAAGGCCCAGACAGCCAGGAUGUUGGCUUAGAAGCAGCCAUCAUUUAAAGAAAGCGUAAUAGCUCACUGGUCGAGUCGGCCUGCGCGGAAGAUGUAACGGGGCUAAACCAUGCACCGAAGCUGCGGCAGCGACACUCAGGUGUUGUUGGGUAGGGGAGCGUUCUGUAAGCCUGCGAAGGUGGCCUGUGAGGGUUGCUGGAGGUAUCAGAAGUGCGAAUGCUGACAUAAGUAACGAUAAAGCGGGUGAAAAGCCCGCUCGCCGGAAGACCAAGGGUUCCUGUCCAACGUUAAUCGGGGCAGGGUGAGUCGACCCCUAAGGCGAGGCCGAAAGGCGUAGUCGAUGGGAAACGGGUUAAUAUUCCCGUACUUGGUGUUACUGCGAAGGGGGGACGGAGAAGGCUAUGUUGGCCGGGCGACGGUUGUCCCGGUUUAAGCGUGUAGGUGUGUGUUCCAGGUAAAUCCGGUUCACUUUAACACUGAGGCGUGACGACGAGGCACUACGGUGCUGAAGCAACAAAUGCCCUGCUUCCAGGAAAAGCCUCUAAGCAUCAGGUAACAUCAAAUCGUACCCCAAACCGACACAGGUGGUCAGGUAGAGAAUACCAAGGCGCUUGAGAGAACUCGGGUGAAGGAACUAGGCAAAAUGGUGCCGUAACUUCGGGAGAAGGCACGCUGACAUGUAGGUGAAGUGAUUUACUCAUGGAGCUGAAGUCAGUCGAAGAUACCAGCUGGCUGCAACUGUUUAUUAAAAACACAGCACUGUGCAAACACGAAAGUGGACGUAUACGGUGUGACGCCUGCCCGGUGCCGGAAGGUUAAUUGAUGGGGUCAGCGCAAGCGAAGCUCCUGAUCGAAGCCCCGGUAAACGGCGGCCGUAACUAUAACGGUCCUAAGGUAGCGAAAUUCCUUGUCGGGUAAGUUCCGACCUGCACGAAUGGCGUAAUGAUGGCCAGGCUGUCUCCACCCGAGACUCAGUGAAAUUGAACUCGCUGUGAAGAUGCAGUGUACCCGCGGCAAGACGGAAAGACCCCGUGAACCUUUACUAUAGCUUGACACUGAACAUUGAGCCUUGAUGUGUAGGAUAGGUGGGAGGCUUUGAAGUGUGGACGCCAGUCUGCAUGGAGCCGACCUUGAAAUACCACCCUUUAAUGUUUGAUGUUCUAACGUGGACCCGUGAUCCGGGUUGCGGACAGUGUCUGGUGGGUAGUUUGACUGGGGCGGUCUCCUCCUAAAGAGUAACGGAGGAGCACGAAGGUUGGCUAAUCCUGGUCGGACAUCAGGAGGUUAGUGCAAUGGCAUAAGCCAGCUUGACUGCGAGCGUGACGGCGCGAGCAGGUGCGAAAGCAGGUCAUAGUGAUCCGGUGGUUCUGAAUGGAAGGGCCAUCGCUCAACGGAUAAAAGGUACUCCGGGGAUAACAGGCUGAUACCGCCCAAGAGUUCAUAUCGACGGCGGUGUUUGGCACCUCGAUGUCGGCUCAUCACAUCCUGGGGCUGAAGUAGGUCCCAAGGGUAUGGCUGUUCGCCAUUUAAAGUGGUACGCGAGCUGGGUUUAGAACGUCGUGAGACAGUUCGGUCCCUAUCUGCCGUGGGCGCUGGAGAACUGAGGGGGGCUGCUCCUAGUACGAGAGGACCGGAGUGGACGCAUCACUGGUGUUCGGGUUGUCAUGCCAAUGGCACUGCCCGGUAGCUAAAUGCGGAAGAGAUAAGUGCUGAAAGCAUCUAAGCACGAAACUUGCCCCGA